ACGAGUUAGGGUCUCCUCGGCCCGACCUCCCAACCCUUUGCUACCUGACCAUCUGUUGCUUCGGCGGAGCCCGUCCUCACGACCGCCGGAGGACGGCAGGCGUUGUCCUCUAGGCCCGCUGCUCGUCCGAUAGCCCACUACAAUAUAAUCUGUCACUAAAUCAGUGUCUAAUGUCUAAGUAUUAAUUGUUAAUUAAAAGCA
rnacentral:misc_RNA from 1 species